GUUAAACGCCCGUAGUAAACCAAAGGGUUAUAGUUAUUGAUCUGAUCAGUUCUGUUCGUCAUAGUCAGCCACGUAUUGUGGCUGAUUGGAUGAAUAAGGACAGGUCCUCGGUCUCUAACGGAAGCGAAAGGGUUCGCCCAACUAGCAUCCGCUGUGGGAUAGGUCAAUGAUUAUGGCUCGCUCCCUAUCAGUCCGCAAGGUCUGAUAGGGCCAUUUGGCACAACCGUAAACAAAUCAGAGUGCUCCAAGCAGGCAAUGUCAGGGGUAACCCAUUUGCUUGAAUGAUUUAGCAUGGAAUUGUCACGAAGCCGAUCGGAAACUUCGAGGGUUUACCUGAGAAGUGGAAGAUCCGGCGCUCGCAAUGAGACACUGGUAGAGGAUCCAAGUACUAUGGCGCGAGAGGUGAAAUUCAGUGACCGCCAUAUGACUAUCUAAUGCGAAAGCAGUUGUGAUCCAGAACGUGUCUGUCAAUCAGGGACGAAAGUUAAGGGAUCGAAGAUGAUUAGAUACCGUCGUAGUCUUAACCGUAAACGAUACCAACACGAGAUUGGUAGUGAGACUUUUAGAUCCUAUCAGAAUCCAAGGGAAACCGUUAAGUUUUUGGGUUCUGGGGGGAAGUAUGGUCGCAAGGCUGAAACUUAAAGGAAUUGACGGAAAGGCACCACCAGGAGUGGAG
rnacentral:rRNA from 1 species